rnacentral:sRNA from 1 species
UCGGCAACUUUACUUAGCUUUCAAAUACGUUUUUUUUUAUAAAUAUCUUUGAUUAUCGAGCGAUGCGAUGAAGAGUUAAUAUCGGAAAUAAACAGAUCGUGGGACAAAUCUCGUCUCGCGAGUUGAUGUCCGAUAAUAUUAUGGUUCGUAUUCGCUGAGCAUCGUAUUCGUUGUAGCAUGUUUAGAAAUUAGGCAACGAAGGACCUAUGGGUGAAACGCUUUAAUCAAUGCGUAUUCAAGCCAAGUUUACCUUCGGAAAUUCAUAAUCGGAGAUUGGUGGAUUUAUCCGAGAUCUGUGUUUUCAAUUCCGGAUUUCGGUUUUUCAUCCCUUAUGGAUUUGGUUUUCGAUUAAAUUCUUGUGAUAUGAGAAUGUGAUUAGAAGCAAAAGCGAAGGACCCAGCAGGGAAGCGAGUAAACUCAUGAAAUGAGGCUUCUCUAACAAUUUAUUUAACCUUCGUAGAUUGAAUCUCCAAGAGCUCUUUGAUGAUCUACGUUUUCGUGGGUUCUCUUGUGUUUUUUGGUGUAUAGCUAGUUUCAUAUGAAGUUUCAGUGUUGGUUUUGUU